GGAGAGAGACGCGAGCCGCACAGGCUCGUGCUCCCAAGCCAAACCGCCGGCCCCAUCGCCGUUGUAUGCCGUCGUCGUCUCCUCCUGGAUCGGCUGCGAUGCCGGAUGCAGCAGUUGCGCAAGGCUUACCAGAUGCGACGCAAUCCUUGGAGCGGACGGGGGCGGCGGCGGCAGCGGGGGAGCGGAAAGGCGCGAUGACGACCGAGAAGCGGAAAGGCUCGACGGCAGCAGCUGCUUCCGUCUCCGUUGCUUCGUCCACCGACCGGCGCAGCGAAAGGGAGAGCAGGGCGGCGAGUUGCUCGAAGCCUGGAUCUGGCUCCAAGCCUUGCUACCGUCCGCUGACCCAUCGGCAUUCAGGUCCGCUACUCCAGUCCAUCUAACAAAGUACUCCUACAUGGCUUCUGUGCUUUCUUCUCUGAACGCCAGUGCUGCUUUGCUUAUAUGUUUACUUCAACAUCACUGAUGCAAAUAAUACCGAGUGAAGAUGUGCAGAUCUUCUCUUUUCUGAUUCGUGAUUCCUUUUACAUCUGGUGUUUGUAAAUCUGAAACAUAGAAUUGUGUUUCUAAUUUUAUGAGUGAUUUUUAUGAUUCAGAAUAUGAUGAAAGAUUAAGCAAGUUGAAAUCAUGGUCUUUUGUUC